UACGUAGGGGGCAAGCGUUGUUCGGAUUUAUUGGGCGUAAAGCGCUCGCAGGUGGUUCGUUGCGUCGGGCGUGAAAGACCCCGGCUCAACUGGGGAGGGUCGUGCGAUACGGUCGAACUGGAGGCCAGUAGGGGGAUGCGGAAUUCCGGGUGUAGUGGUGGAAUGCGUAGAGAUCCGGAGGAACACCAGCGGCGAAGGCGGCAUCCUGGACUGGUCCUGACACUCAGGAGCGAAAGCGUGGGGAGCGAUCCGG
rnacentral:rRNA from 1 species